GAUAAGCUAGCUGAAUAUUGUUGCUUCAAAUUAGUUGGUGUAUUUUAGUUAGUUUUGCUUCAAAGGCUCAGCUCUGCACACUAUUAUUUUGCUGAAUAAUGUCAUCAUCGGAUAGUGCUAAAAAUUAGAAACCAUAUUCUUAGUUUUCCUGUGAAAUAUACUACGAUAAUAUGGAAAGCUACAACCUCCUCGAUGAUGAAGAAGAACUCAUUCGUUUACUUGAAGAUGACAAGGCAGAUGAAGAAGAGGAUACACCUUAUGAAAAAAGAACUAGUGCCAGAGUCUGAAUCAGAAUGGGAUAAUAGUGAUGAAGAUCCAGAUUGAAACCUAGACAACCAGCAAGAAAGCUUUGCAAAUAGACUACAAGAGGAUAUCAGGAAAACGGUAGAAGAAAUACGAUGAUUGGAAGAAGAAAAAAAGAACCAACCAUCCUCAUCGAAGAGAAAUAAGAAGAAUGAAGAUGAAAUAGAAAUAUUACAUCCAAAAAGAGAAAAACACAGGAAACCGAAAUUCGAGUGGAACAAAGCAUAAGAGAAGAAGAAAAUCAAAAAAGAAUUCUCAGAAACUAGAACACCAACCUUUAGCUUUGAAAUAAAUACAUAAUAAUAUUACAAAAAAUAUUUUACACAAAAUAAAUAUUUAUAAAUAAAUGACUACCGGUACUUGAUAAGUCACUUUUUCGUAGAAUUACUAGAAUCCACAUUUUUUCGAAGACACAAAAGGUUUUGGCUAAUUAUAAACUCUAAAUUUUUCCAGAAUUAUUCGUACGGUACCGUAUAUGAUGUCAAUAUCUUUUAAACGGUUUGUGAUAUCGAUGUUCGGUUUUCAUCAUUCUUUUUCACUUGAAAUUUCGUAUUUGUGUUAUAAAUGUAUUGUAUGACCACCUUCACAUUCAAAGAGAUUAAACAACUUUCAAAAUGGUGGAUCCUAGACAGCGGAUCACAAGGUUACGGAAAAGUAUCUACCUAGUAGCCUCGGCUAUUUUGAAUUUGAGAUCCCCAAUCACACCUACAAUGAAGUUAAUAUUGUUUGAGAAAUAUUGAGCCAUGCAUUUUCAUACUUUUCACCAACUCUAAAUAUUCAAAUUUAUUUUAAGGAUUGAAAAUCUCUCUUCGAAAAUAGUACGGUACCUAAUGAUUGUAUGUGUGCAAUUUCGUUGUUGCAGGAAGUAUGAAUUUAAUGAAGAAUUACUUCACCGAACAGUUUGAUAAGAUUAAGAGCCAAAUAGCAGAAAUAAAUGCUCAACGGAUAAAAAGUGACCAGCCUUCAUCGGCAAUGGAUACCAUGCCACCAAUCUCCGAUGAAGAGAAUGACAAAUUGGUAGCCGAUUGGUUUCCACUAUCAAAUUUGAAACAAUUUGAGGACUUGGAAAUGCGCCUGAAGGAUGCAGAUUUCGGGGAGAAAAUUGUUUGUGCUUGGACGACUCUUGGGGCUGGCAGUAGCAGCAGCUCCAGGGCACUGACAUGGAUGCUGAGAAAUUCCAUGUCAGCGGAUUUAACAUCCAUGUUUUCAUGGAGUGGCCAAAAAAAAGGCAGUGAAGAAAAUGACAUUCAACGAAACGAAUUUCCAGAAAGUUUUAUUCAGUUAAUGAGUCGAGUGAUUCUGAUAAAGAUGAGAUUACUCCAUUUGAUUCCAAUAUUUUUAACAACACAUUCACGUCUUCUGAGCUCAAUACGAGUGUGAUACUGAUGGAAAUUGAUCAUUAUGAUGUCGAUAUCCCUGUCCUUGAAAUUCACAGGGUUUUUUGGUGGCAUAGUCUGCAAGAGCCUUGCAUGGACAUCGAAGCGGCUGAUACAACAGUAGACAUUCAGAAGCCUGAUGCAGUGGACAUUUGUGACCCUAAAGAUUCAGUGGUGCUAGAACAACAUA
rnacentral:misc_RNA from 1 species